AGGAUGAACGCUAGCGACAGGCCUAACACAUGCAAGGUCGAGGGGCAGCACGGUGUAGCAAUACGACGGGUGGCGACCGGCGCACGGGUGAGUAACGCGUAUGCAACCUGCCUACUACGAAGGGGAUAACCCGUUGAAAGACGGACUAAUACCCUAUAACACAGGGAAUCCGCAUGGAUAUAUUUGUUAAAGAUUUAUCGGUAGUAGAUGGGCAUGCGUUCCAUUAGCUUGUUGGUGAGGUAACGGCUCACCAAGGCAACGAUGGAUAGGGGAACUGAGAGGUUGAUCCCCCACACUGGAACUGAGACACGGUCCAGACUCCUACGGGAGGCAGCAGUGAGGAAUAUUGGUCAAUGGACGAGAGUCUGAACCAGCCAAGUCGCGUGAAGGAAGACGGCCCUACGGGUUGUAAACUUCUUUUGUAAGGGAAUAAAUAGUCUUACGCGCUAAGACGUUGCAGGUACCUUACGAAUAAGGAUCGGCUAACUCCGUG
rnacentral:rRNA from 1 species